UGCGUAGGCGGUUAUGUAAGUCAGCAAGUGAAAUUCCACAGCUUAACUGUAGGGACUGCUUUUGAUACUGCAUGACUUGAACCAAGAUGAGGUAGGCGGAAUGUGGCAUGUAGCGGUGAAAUGCAUAGAUAUGCCAUAGAACACCGAUUGCGAAGGCAGCUUACUAGACUUGAGUUGACGCUGAGGCACGAAAGCGUGGGGAGCGAACAGGAUUAGAUACCCUGGUAGUCCACGCCCUAAACGAUGCUAACUCGACGUGUGGGAGAGAUCUUGCGCGUCCAAGCGAAAGCGAUAAGUUAGCCACCUGGGGAGUACGUUCGCAAGAAUGAA
rnacentral:rRNA from 1 species